CCUAUACUCCCUCCGUCCGGAAAUACUUGUCAUCAAAAUGAAUAAAAGGAGAUGUAUCUAGAUGUAUUUAAGUUCUAGAUACAUCCCCUUUUGUCCAUUUUGAUGACAAGUAUUUUCGGACGGAGGGAGUACCUU
rfam:Triticum aestivum genome assembly, contig: Triticum_aestivum_CS42_TGACv1_scaffold_502011_6BL